rnacentral:misc_RNA from 1 species
AUGCAGGACCGUUCCUGCUACAAGCUCACACAGGAAGGGGAACGUCUUUUUCGCAUGCAAAAGUAUGAGAAAGGCAUCGACUUGUUGAAAAAAGCGUUGGAAGUAGGCACAGAUGAUUUUUCAUUACUCUCGGCUAUCUAUUGUCAGCUCGGAAAUGCACACACAAUGCUUAAAGAUUAUGAGCAAGCUCUCAAGUUCCAUACGUAUGACAUUCUUGUUGAAAGGUAACGAAUGCGAAAGAAAUUUAAACAAAAAAUAAACAAAAUUUCAGAUUGCUUGGAAACAAGGAGGGAGAAGCAAAGUCGUGUGCCAACUUGGGAAAUAUAUUCAAGAUGAAAGGCGCUUACAACGACGCGCUCACCUUCACAUUCAAACAGCUGGAUUUUGCCGAAGAGUUGGGCGAUAGAGUUCUCAAAUCUCGAGCUUAUUACAACAUUGCGACGAUUUAUGUGGAGCGAGGGCGAUGCACAAAACUGGAAGCUGCUGAAGAGAAAAAUGACGCCAAAAAUGCAGAAGCCACUUCGGAUUUUGAGAAUGCUGCCAAGUACUUUAUGCUAAAUCUGGAGAUGUCGGAAAAAUCGGAAGAUGCGCUGACGAUGGGGCGAUGCUACGGCAGCUUAGGAAAUACUUAUUAUUGCCUUGGAGACUAUGACCAAUCUAUCCACUUUCAUAAACUUAGACUUGAAUUAUCUCAACAAUACGGAGACCGAGCGUCGAUGCGUCGCGCUCACGCCAAUAUCGCAAAUUGUCACGCGUUGAAGUCGAACAUGCCGCUGGCUAUUCAGCAUUAUAAACUAGCUUACAACCUGGCCAUUGAGAUUGGCAACAAAACAGAGGAAGCUCAAAUGGCUUACUCGUUGGCCAACGCCCUCUACAUUGGUAAAGAAGUCCAGAAAGCAAUCACCUAUUUCCAACGUCAUCUUAAAAUUGCACGGAGUUUAGAAGACAUAUCGGGACAACUGCGAUCAUACUACUCACUUGCGCUGUCAUUCAACAACCUUUGUGAACGUCGCAAGGCACUUUAUUUUCUGGUCCUCGCAAAACGGAGUUCUCUUCAGGUGAACGACACCAGUGCGCUCACUGACAUUGAUAACUUGCUCAACGAAAUUCUGGAGGCCGGACAAGAAGACGUGCUUGUUGACGAUAUCGAGCUCAUAAUUGACGAGUCAGCCGACCCAGCACCUGCUGAUAUUGAGCAUCGCGAACUUCGUCUUACCUACUUUCAAAAACGCAAUAUUCACGAUAAACCAGUCAAUACGCCGGAGGAUCCGCUCGCCGAGGACCGCUACGAGAAGGAAGAGUUCUUUGAUAUGCUUGCAAAGCUGCAGUCGAAACGGAUGAACGAUCAACGUGUCGACGCGUCAGUUCUCAGUUCAAAUCUUGACUUUCGAGUUCGCCAAGUGGACACUGAGCCCGACAACUCAUCGACUGAUGGUUCUGAGGUACUGAUCGAUUUGCUUCUGAACGCUCAAGGACGAAGAAUGGAUGAUCAGCGGGCGCCAUUCUUGCCGGGGCUCAAUCCGAACGGACAGAUUAUUCUUCGCAGACUCAAUACAGAUCCCGGAAACGAGGAGCUAGAUGAACAUCUUGUCGAGUGGCUGAUGCGUGUUCAAGGCGAACGGCUUGACGAGCAACGUAGCGAGCUGCCACCUAUCAAACCAGAGGGUCAGGAAGAAGUUGACAAGAAAAAAGAAGAAGAUGUGACCGCAAUUGUGAUGCGCAUGCAAGCCGGUCGCCUCGAGGACCAAAGAGCACAUCUUCCAAACAUUCCAACCUCAAAGAAUUGA